UACGUAGGGGGCAAGCGUUGUCCGGAAUUACUGGGCGUAAAGGGCGCGUAGGCGGCCUUCUAAGUCGAACGUGAAAUCCCUGGGCUCAACCCAGGAACUGCGUCCGAUACUGAAAGGCUUGAAUCCGGGAGAGGGAUGCGGAAUUCCAGGUGUAGCGGUGAAAUGCGUAGAUAUCGGGAGGAACAUCAGUGGCGAAAGCGGCACCCUGGCAUUAGCCUGACGCUCAGGUGCGAAAGCGUGGGGAGCGAACGGG
rnacentral:rRNA from 1 species